rnacentral:rRNA from 1 species
GAUGAACGCUGGCGGUAUGCUUAACACAUGCAAGUCGAACGGACUCUUCGGAGUUAGUGGCGGACGGGUGAGUAACGCGUGAGAAUCUGGCUUUGGGUUCGGGACAACCACUGGAAACGGUGGCUAAUACCGGAUGUGCCGAGAGGUAAAAGAGAAAUUGCCUGAAGAUGAGCUCGCGUCUGAUUAGCUAGUUGGUGAGGUAAAGGCUCACCAAGGCAGCGAUCAGUAGCUGGUCUGAGAGGAUGACCAGCCACACUGGGACUGAGACACGGCCCAGACUCCUACGGGAGGCAGCAGUGGGAAUUUUCCGCAAUGGGCGAAAGCCUGACGGAGCAAUACCGCGUGAGGGAAGAAGGCUCUUGGGUUGUAAACCUCUUUUCUUAGGGAAGAACAAAAUGACGGUACCUAAGGAAUCAGCAUCGGCUAACUCCGUG